rnacentral:rRNA from 1 species
AGUGGACGCUGGCGGUAGGCCUAACACAUGCAAGUCGAACGGCAGCACAGUAAGAGCUUGCUCUUACGGGUGGCGAGUGGCGGACGGGUGAGGAAUACAUCGGAAUCUACUUUUUCGUGGGGGAUAACGUAGGGAAACUUACGCUAAUACCGCAUACGACCUACGGGUGAAAGCAGGGGAUCUUCGGACCUUGCGUGAUUGAAUGAGCCGAUGUCGGAUUAGCUAGUUGGCGGGGUAAAGGCCCACCAAGGCGACGAUCCGUAGCUGGUCUGAGAGGAUGAUCAGCCACACUGGAACUGAGACACGGUCCAGACUCCUACGGGAGGCAGCAGUGGGGAAUAUUGGACAAUGGGCGCAAGCCUGAUCCAGCCAUACCGCGUGGGUGAAGAAGGCCUUCGGGUUGUAAAGCCCUUUUGUUGGGAAAGAAAAGCAGCAGGUUAAUACCCCGCUGUUCUGACGGUACCCAAAGAAUAAGCACCGGCUAACUUCGUG